UUCUACUUCUAAAGAGGAAAUUGCAAACAACAGAAGUCUUAUAAGUGCUCAGGAAAAAUGCCAUAUGGCAUGCGCAUCCUCACGAAAAUAUGAGCUCUAAACUUCGCAAAUGUCUUCAUGCCACGUGGAUGCACAACCUACAUUAGCAAAAAAUGUAAAAUGUUUCCCUCCCUAUGCAAAAAACACUGAAGGGAAGCAAAGCUCUAAACAACUUCUAUUUGCCCAUAACAUUCACCUGCAAUCAGCAAUAGUAACAAGAAGGUCAAGACUUCAAGAUUGUUCUACGUAUCAGUUCAGAGCUGUGAUGGAGUAUCGGACAUAUAAACAGCUUCAAAGCAAGCAGUGCAGAUAAUUUCUGUCUUAUAUCACCAUCCAAGAGAACCAGAGCUGAAAGCAUUCCCACAGGUCAACUAAGCUGCUGGAGGAGUGCUCUGAAAAGCCGAAUCUGAACAUGGCUGCACAAUGACUGUUCUUGGCAGAUGGCACUGAAGCGCUAGAACCUAAAGACAUACCCCAUGAUGCUGAUGUUUAUAUUUCAACUGGAGAGAUCUUUUUCUAUCCAUUAAAAAAAGAAAAGGAAUUUUGUGUUGUUGCUGCACAUUCCAAUUGCAACAAGAGAGAGAUUUCAGUCCAGUCUGCACACUGGAGAUUACAAACACUCUUCUGGGAACUGUGAAAUAUGGAGCAGAGUCUGUCAGAGUGAGAAGAUAUUCCCUCUGCCCAGGAAAUAGAAACACCUGUCCACUUCUAUAAAUGAGACUUUACCACUAUUCUUCAGGCCAUCUGUCAUUAAUGAAGAAAGUGGCUUGGACAGUGGCUGGCCUGGUUCUUCAUAAUGGUGUUAAGCAAAAGAAAACCAAGUCUGUCAUUUACAGCUGCGUGUAGAAAAUUAUUGAGGACCUCUCUGGCAGAAUUUUUGUGUUUAAGAGCUGCACAGGGUGGGAUAACUAUGGGACUAUUGCAUCACAAAAUCAAAUCGGAAAGACUUUCACCUAUCAAUGAAAAAAUGAGCCAGCUAUGCAGAGUGAUGUGAAUUCACCAAAUAUUGGUGGUGUCUUGGCAGGAAGGUCUGAAGUGCAACCGAAGGAUGUUUGACUCUUUUCGUUCUGAAACCCUGACAAAAGUGAUAACAUUCUCACUUCAGUUGUGCUACAUCUGUAUCACUGAAUGAAUGAGACAAAAAGACACACUGAACAAUCGCUGUCACUGUUUCAGUUCUCAAAAAGGAAGAUUUACCAGACGGUACAAUCUUCACGGUCUUCCUCACAUUUCUAUUUAAAUCACUGUACAGGCUUCUGAUGGAAGAACUGCACAUCUACCAUUCAGUAAUCAAUACACUGAUGUAUAUCAAACAGGAUUCAUAAAUCAUUGAAGAAAAAUAUUUUUUUCCAUGCUGAAAAUGCCUAUCCUUAUGCAAGUAAAACUGGAAAGAAUAAGUAUGUUUAGAAAAUUUGAAAGAAAAGACGAGAACAGCAUUGAAGCUACCGUAAUUACAACUGCAAGUGAGAAAAAGGGGAAAAAAAACCCAACCAACAACCAAGGAAGCACACAUUUUUAUCUCUCAAGUUUGGUGUGCAGUGUCAGUUGUGGAAUGUGGAUUCUGUUGAGUUCCAUGAACAAUGAAUUUUUCCUGGUCAAAGUAUUGCCAUUUCUGUCAUCAAAAGUAACUUACACGCUAUCUGUCGUAGACUUUCUUCCAAAGAAUGACAGCUCACCUGCUUGACAGAUGCUUGCAAAAUUCCAUCACACCUUUGUGUGGACCUGUUUGGAUCUUUAAGAGAGAAGGUUUCAGCCUCUCAGGAGCAAAGAUUUCUAUCGAAGGAGUUCUAUUGGCCCUGCAUCAACAAUUAAAGUCUGCAAACUGUUGCAAACAGCUUGAGCUUAUCUGCAGAUGAUCUGCACAGACAUACUGCCCUCUUCAAAAUUUCCGUAUUCCUAUCUAUUUCAGCAGCUUGAGAAGUUCAUUAUCUGACUGUUACUGUAAGUUUUCUUUACUGAAUGGCAGCUAACGGGCUGUCAAUCCUGUAUUUUGUGAUGUGUUCUUCUUUCAGCAAUCAAAAUAAGAAUUCUACCUUAUUGGACUUCUGAAGAGAUCUUGCAGUUCAGACAACAGAUGGGCAAAUAUGUGAGACAAGAAUGUGUUGCAGCCUAUAGCAUGUGCUAGAGUGAUGACUCACUAUUAUUGUGAAUCUUUUUCUACCAUUAUAGCAAAGAAAUCACUUGCCAAUAUUGCUUAUUGUGAAUUUUUUCCCUGAGCUGUCACAGCUCGUGUUUCAUAUAGUUAAGUCAUCUGAAUUCUGUGCUAUCUAUCAAGUUGUCACACUCUAGUGUCUUGUAUAAAAUAAAAAAUAAUUUCACAUAA